rnacentral:rRNA from 1 species
CAACGCCGCGUGAGGAUGAAGGCUCGGUUGUAACUCUUUGUCAGGGACGAAUAAUGACGGUACCUGGCGAAUAAGCUUCGGCUAACUACGUGC